rnacentral:rRNA from 1 species
UAGAGUUUGAUCCUGGCUCAGAUUGAACGCUGGCGGCAUGCUUUACACAUGCAAGUCGGACGGCAGCACAGAGAAGCUUGCUUCUCGGGUGGCGAGUGGCGAACGGGUGAGUAACAUAUCGGAACGUACCGAGUAGUGGGGGAUAACUGAUCGAAAGAUCAGCUAAUACCGCAUACGUCUUGAGAGAGAAAGCAGGGGACCUUCGGGUCUUGCGCUAUUCGAGCGGCCGAUAUCUGAUUAGCUAGUUGGUGGGGUAAAGGCUCACCAAGGCGACGAUCAGUAGCGGGUCUGAGAGGAUGAUCCGCCACACUGGGACUGAGACACGGCCCAGACUCCUACGGGAGGCAGCAGUGGGGAAUUUUGGACAAUGGGCGCAAGCCUGAUCCAGCCAUGCCGCGUGUCUGAAGAAGGCCUUCGGGUUGUAAAGGACUUUUGUCAGGGAAGAAAAGGCUGUUGCUAAUACCAGCGGCUGAUGACGGUACCUGAAGAAUAAGCA